rnacentral:rRNA from 1 species
GAUGAACGCUGGCGGCAUGCUUAACACAUGCCAGUCGGACGGGAAGGGGUGUUUCUAGUGGCGUGCGGGUGAGUCACGCGUAAGAACCUGCCGUGGGUAAGGGGACCUCAACUGUAAACGAUUUCUAAUACACCGUGGCCAAUGCCGGAAAGGAGGGCAUCCGCCCGAGGAGGGGUUUGCGUCUGACUGGCUAGUUGGUGAGGUACUAGCUUACCAAGCCGAUGAUCAGUGGCUGGUCCGAGAGGAGGAUCAGCCACACUGGGACGGAGACGCGGCGCAGACUACUACGGGAAGCAGCAGUGGAGAAUGCACCGCAAUGGGAGAAAGCAUGAAGGAGCGAUGCGGCGUGGAGGUAGAAGGUCGACGGGUCGUGAACUUCUUUUCUCGGAGAAGAGACAAUGACGGUAUCUGAGGAAUAAGCAUCGGCUAACUCUGUG